UAUUAGGUUGGUGCAAAAGUGAUUGUGGUUUUCACAAUUACUUUUAAUGGUAAAAACCACAUUUACUAUUAUAACAACCUAAUAA
ensembl:miRNA